rnacentral:rRNA from 1 species
AUAACGACUCUCGGCAACGGAUAUCUCGGCACUCCAUCGAUGAAGAACGUAGCGAAAUGCGAUACUUGGUGUGAAUUGCAGAAUCCCGUGAACCAUCGAGUCUUUGAACGCAGGUUGCGCCCUAAGCCUUCUGGCCGAGGGCACGUCUGCCUGGGUGUCACAAA